rnacentral:lncRNA from 1 species
GUAAGACAAGGACCCCUUUUUCUCUUUACAACGUCUUACUACCACAGCUAUUCCACUCUGUAGAUACGAAUAGUCCAAACACGUAUCUUCGGGCGAAUAGCCUUUAAUUAAGCAAGGGCGAGACCAAAGCACUUAACUAUAGAAAUUACUUAGAAUAGUGAAAAUCGGCACUACUCAAGCCUUCUUAUCCGCGAGUGCUACUCGCCCAAGGAAGUCUCUAGCGGUUCAAUUCAAUUAGGUGAAAACUGUCUCGGAUGCCCCUUCCUCCUCAACCCGGGAGAA